CCUACGGGGGGCAGCAGUGGGGAAUAUUGGACAAUGGGCGAAAGCCUGAUCCAGCCAUGCCGCGUGUGUGAAGAAGGCCUUCGGGUUGUAAAGCACUUUCAGUGGGGAAGAAAGCCUUGGGGCUAAUACCCUCGAGGAAGGACAUCACCCACAGAAGAAGCACCGGCUAACUCCGUGCCAGCAGCCGCGGUAAUACGGAGGGUGCGAGCGUUAAUCGGAAUUACUGGGCGUAAAGCGCGCGUAGGCGGUCUGAUAAGCCGGUUGUGAAAGCCCCGGGCUCAACCUGGGAACGGCAUCCGGAACUGUCAGGCUAGAGUGCAGGAGAGGAAGGUAGAAUUCCCGGUGUAGCGGUGAAAUGCGUAGAGAUCGGGAGGAAUACCAGUGGCGAAGGCGGCCUUCUGGACUGACACUGACGCUGAGGUGCGAAAGCGUGGGUAGCAAACAGGAUUAGUACCCGAGUAGUC
rnacentral:rRNA from 1 species